AGUUAAUUAGUUAAAUAUAAACUUAUAUCUUGAAAAUAUAAAAUAAAUAAUAAUUUAUUUAUUAACUU
rnacentral:tRNA from 1 species